GACGAACGCUGGCGGUGUGCCUAACACAUGCAAGUCGAACGGUAAGGCCCUUCGGGGUACACGAGUGGCGAACGGGUGAGUAACACGUGGGUGAUCUGCCCUGCACUUCGGGAUAAGCCUGGGAAACUGGGUCUAAUACCGGAUAGGACCCUGGGAUGCAUGUCCUGGGGUGGAAAGCUUUUGCGGUGUGGGAUGGGCCCGCGGCCUAUCAGCUUGUUGGUGGGGUGAUGGCCUACCAAGGCGACGACGGGUAGCCGGCCUGAGAGGGUGACCGGCCACACUGGGGCUGAGAUCCGGCCCAGACUCCUACGGGAGGCAGCAGUGGGGAAUAUUGCACAAUGGGCGCAAGCCUGAUGCAGCGACGCCGCGUGAGGGAUGACGGCCUUCGGGUUGUAAACCUCUUUCAGCACCGACGAAGCGCAAGUGACGGUAGGUGCAGAAGAAGGACCGGCCAACUACGUGCCAGCCGCCGCCGUAA
rnacentral:rRNA from 1 species